UUCGGGAGGAGGGUCAGACACCAAUCUCCGCAUCACCAAAUUGAAUCAUUCAAUUUACACAUUAGCUAAUUAAAUUGUUAGCACUAUAAAUACCCUCUUCACUUAUCUCUCAGUUGCGUUUUGAUUUCAUCGUAACCCACCACCUCCCCAUCUCCACCUUUCUUAAUAACAAUUUUUAUGUUUUAUCAAUGGGGGUCUCAGCCUCGUCCAGUCGGCCAGGCAGCGAACCCUCAAUCCAAGUUAGGUUUGAUGCCAAAUGAAUGUGUAUAUACAGCAUACUUUUCUGUAAAAUCGCAUACUCUGCAUUCUCUACAAUAAAUAUUUGUACUAACUACUGAAUCAACAUUUCAGUCAGGGAUCCACAGGCUGAAUUGUUUUUGGAGAACUGCUGGGCAACCUAUUCUGCUGACAGGAAUAGCUCUCCAAAGUGGGAUGUUGUUGUGGACAGCUGUGAGAACUCUGCAGAUGAGUACUUGACCAUCUUUCACCCAGUCUCCAGCAAUGCAAGAGUGCUGUUCCCAUCCCAUCUGAAGAGGUUUGAAGUGAAAAUGUUUUCCUUCACAAGCGGCCGGGAUGCACUGAAAGGACAGAUUUACUUCCACUGCAGUGUUGUGAUAUGUGAUUCAAACCGGCCAUCAGACAGCCUCUGUAGCAGACGGUGCAUUCCAGGAAAACAGAGGCUUGGUCGCAGUGCUGAAGGGAUGGAUGGUGGUGCAGUAAAGGCAUUUGUGUCUUCUGGCCCAAUUGAGCUGAAGAGAGAUGGAUCCCUUCGCUUUAUGCCUAGAA